GAUGAACGCUAGCGGCAGGCCUAACACAUGCAAGUCGGAGGGGUAACAGAAAGCUUGCUUUUGCUGACGACCGGCGCACGGGUGCGUAACGCGUAUGCAACCUACCUCAUACUGGAGGAUAGCCCCUGGGAAACGGGGAUUAAUACUCCAUAGUAUCACAAUUUCGCAUGUUAUUGUGAUUAAAGUUUUUCGGUAUGAGAUGGGCAUGCGUCCCAUUAGCUUGUUGGUGAGGUAAUGGCUCACCAAGGCAACGAUGGGUAGGGGGCCUGAGAGGGUGGUCCCCCACACUGGUACUGAGACACGGACCAG
rnacentral:rRNA from 1 species